rnacentral:rRNA from 1 species
GACGAACCGUGCGAACGUUGUUCGGAUUCACUGGGCUUAAAGGGCGCGUAGGCGGACGGUCAAGUCGGGGGUGAAAUCUUUCAGCUUAACUGGAAAGGUGCCUCCGAUACUGAUCGUCUCGAGGGAGGUAGGGGCAUGUGGAACUUCCGGUGGAGCGGUGAAAUGCGUAGAUAUCGGAAGGAACGCCGGUGGCGAAAGCGACGUGCUGGACCUCUUCUGACGCUGAGGCGCGAAAGCCAGGGGAGCAAACGGG